rnacentral:tRNA from 1 species
CAGGGAAUAGUUUAAGUAAAAUGUUAAUUUUGGAGGUUAAUAAUAAGGUAAUUAACCUUUUCUCUGA